GACGAACGCUGGCGGCGUGCUUAACACAUGCAAGUCGAACGCUGAAGCCCUUUCGGGGGUGGAUGAGUGGCGAACGGGUGAGUAACACGUGGGUAAUCUGCCCUGCACUCUGGGAUAAGCCUUGGAAACGGGGUCUAAUACCGGAUAGGACACAUCGCCGCAUGGUGUGUGUGUGGAAAGUUCCGGCGGUGCAGGUUGAGCCCGCGGCCUAGCAGCUUGUUGGUGGGGUGAUGGCCUACCAAGGCGACGACGGGUAGCCGGCCUGAGAGGGUGACCGGCCAAGCUGGGACUGGGACACGGCCCAGACUCCUACGGGAGGCAGCAGUGGGGAGUCUUGCGCAAUGGGCGAAAGCCUGACGCAGCAACGCCGCGUGGGGGAUGACGGCCUUCGGGUUGUAAACCUCUUUCGACCGGGACGAAGGGUGGCUGACGGUACCGGUAGAAGAAGCACCGGCUAACUACGUGCCAGCCGCCGCCGUAA
rnacentral:rRNA from 1 species